rnacentral:sRNA from 1 species
UAAAGAUGCAAGAAGUCAAGACAGGGCUGGAGGGGAAAGAAAGCCAGGCCGAUGGAUGACUCCUUGCUUCUCCCUGACAGGGAUGCAGGUAUGUGGGAAGGACCCUUGCACUGAUCUCCUGACCCUUAUCAGACUGCAGCUGGCUUCUUACUGCAGAAUCAAGGUGCUGGAGAUCUUUGUAUUCUAAUGGCGUUCAACAUUUCAGCAUUUGGUGAUAAGAAGUGGCUCCCGAUAAAUGCAGAAGAUCGAAUGUGAAACCCAGAUACAUUAGAUCCGGGAGAUGGAAGGAUCCAGAGACCCUACCUCACUCCAUCAGAGCAACUCAGCCUGGACACACCCACUGGCCCACACUGAACCACUGUGAACUGAAUGAAUAUGUGUUGGAUUAUGAUGGACAUUGGAAUGGUCAGUAAGGCAGCCAACACUACUCUGCCUGCCUGAUACAUGUAUUUGAAAACUAAUAUAUUGCUGAUGUGUGGGGGCCUUAGUAGGAGCUAAGAACAAAAAUAUAAAUACACAUUUUAAAUAGUGGUCCUCUUGAAGAUAGUGGAUUAUAUGAAGAGAUAUAACAGACGGUAAAAGAAUGUUCUUGUUGUAGUUACAUGCUAAUAUACUCUACCUAAUGACACCAAGUCCAAGCAAAGGGAAACCUGACAGUCUGCCUUCCCCCUUGUUCCUAAGUUGUGUAGACAGUGUCGGGAUCUAGAUGGAUGAGCGUAUGGACAACUGAGAGCAUAAGCAAGAUGGGGCUGUCACAGACAUACUUCGAAGGGGUCAUCAAAAAAAAGAGCAUAAACAAAAAUUGAUACAAACCACUAGCCAGCGUUGGUGGGACUGUACUGUACUUGAGAUCCUGUUGCCCCAACCACAGAAUCUGUUUGGAAAAUUCUGGAACUAGCAACCCAAGAAUGGGCAAUUGAGAGAAGAUUAGGAGAUGGUGCCUCUUAUCUUUCUACCUUCCUAAAAAAAUAAAUA